rnacentral:rRNA from 1 species
UUUACGCAUGCCGGUCGCACGGAUUAGGGAGCUUGCUCAUUAGUUAGUGGCGAACGGGUGAGUAAUAUAUCGGAACAUAUCCGGAAGUGGGGGAUAACGUAGCGAAAGUUACGCUAAUACCGCAUAUGCCCUCAGGGGGAAAGGGGGGGACCGCAAGACCUCUCGCUUUCGGAGUGGCCCAUAUCGGAUUAGCUAGUAGGUGAGGUAAAGGCUCACCUAGGCGACGAUCCGUAGCUGGUCUGAGAGGACGACCAGCCACACUGGGACUGAGACACGGUCCAGACUCCUACGGGAGGCAGCAGUGGGGAAUAUUGGACAAUGGGCGAAAGCCUGAUCCAGCCAUGCCGCGUGAGUGAAGAAGGCCUUCGGGUUGUAAACUC